rnacentral:lncRNA from 1 species
CCUGACAUAAAAUGACAUAGUACUGUAUUUGUAUUAAUAUAUAAUCUACACAAUCCUCCCAUAUACUUUCAAUCAUCUGUAGAUUUCUUAUAUUACUUCAUAAAAUGUAUUAACAAAUACUAUGUAAAUAGUUGUUAUAUUGUUUAGGGAAUAAUGACAAGAAGAAAAAGUCUGAAAAAAAAAAAGAAAAGGUCUGUACACAUUAAGUACACUCAACCAUCAUAGGCCUCACCACACUUUCCAUCCGAGGUUGGUUGAAAUCAUGGAUGCAGAACCUAUCGAUUCAGAGGCCCAGGACUGUACUUCCAACAGCUUUUAACACCACGAGACAGCUUCCUAGGUACUGAGAAUGAAGAAAUGAACAAGAUGCGACUCCUACCUUAAGCAGCUCACUGUCUAGUCGGGGAGCCAGGUAUGUGAAAAGUUAUCAAAGUACCUUAUAAGUGCUGUAAUGUAAGUACAUAGUUACAA